CAACCUGUACAUCCGCCGGUACCGUCCCACUGAAAUUAAAAGAGAGAAUCAAAAGAUUAAUUAAUAUCAUUUAAAAAAAUAUGCACAUAUAUAAGCAAAUGUCUGGAAAUAACUCACAUUACGAUCUGGACACUUGUAGAAUAUACGACACUUGUUUACUCCCUCUUUCGACACUUUGUACUCCAUCAAAAUCUUCUGCCCACACUUGCCACAAGUAAUGAGAGAGAGUUCCGGACGGUAUCGCUUUUGAACCCGUUGAGAGACUGAAGACCCGGUCACGGUUGCCAUCUACUAUCCAUACUCAAUUUUUAAACAAUUAUAAAUUCCACAUUUACUAGUAAACAUGUAUGAUACAAUGGACAUUAUAUGUAGUAAUAAAAAUAAAUCAAGUGAUAUUAACAAACCAAUUAAUUUGAACUAUCCUACUU
rnacentral:lncRNA from 1 species